AACGAACGCUGGCGGCAUGCCUAACACAUGCAAGUCGAACGAGACCUUCGGGUCUAGUGGCGCACGGGUGCGUAACGCGUGGGAACCCGCCUUUAGGUUCGGAAUAACUCAGAGAAAUUUGAGCUAAUACCGGAUGAUGUCUUCGGACCAAAGAUUUAUCGCCUUUAGAUGGGCCCGCGUUGGAUUAGCUAGUUGGUGGGGUAAAGGCCUACCAAGGCGACGAUCCAUAGCUGGUCUGAGAGGAUGAUCAGCCACACUGGGACUGAGACACGGCCCAGACUCCUACGGGAGGCAGCAGUGGGGAAUAUUGGACAAUGGGCGAAAGCCUGAUCCAGCAAUGCCGCGUGAGUGAUGAAGGCCUUAGGGUUGUAAAGCUCUUUUACCCGAGAUGAUAAUGACAGUAUCGGGAGAAUAAGCGCCGGCUAACUCCGUG
rnacentral:rRNA from 1 species